rnacentral:rRNA from 1 species
UACUAGAGUAGCACUCGCAUAUCAAUAAGCGGAGGAAAAGAAACUAACAAGGAUUCCCCUAGUAACGGCGAGUGAAGCGGGAAGAGCUCAAAUUUGAAAUCUUAAAGGGUUUCCCUUUACGAAUUGUAGUUUAAAGAAGUGUUUUCUGUUGAGGUUCUGGUAAAAGUUCUUUGGAAUAGGACAUCAUAGAGGGUGAGAAUCCCGUAUUUGACCUUUACUUUCAACUUUGUGAUACACUUUCAAAGAGUCGGAUUGUUUGGGAAUGCAGUCCAAAAUGGGUGGUAAAUUUCAUCUAAAGCUAAAUAUUGGCGAGAGACCGAUAGCGAACAAGUACCGUGAGGGAAAGAUGAAAAGAACUUUGAAAAGAGAGUUAAACAGUACGUGAAAUUGUCAAAAGGGAAGCGUUUGACACCAGUGUUGUUUUUCUGAAAAUCAAUUAAAGAACUGUUUAUGCUAAGCUGUUUAGACUUUAUCAGCUAUCUGUUUAGUUUUAGGCUUUUCUUUAAUGCACUUUUCAGUUAACAAGUCAACAUCAAUUUCUUUUGCUGUAAAAAAGCUUGAGGAAGGUGGCUUGAGAUUCGUCUUAAGUGUUUAUAGCCUCUUGCCUAUGCAGUCGGAGAGAUUGAGGUCUGCAGCGUAGAUCCUUCGGGGCUAAAUGCAUUUGUGCUAAGUUAUAGCAUUUUAUAGACAACUUGUUGACUAUGAUUUGUCUUGUAGCUUACUCGCUUAUGUUAUUUUACCUACGCUUAGGAUGUUGAGCGCAUGUCUCUCUCU